ACGUUAGCGGCGGACGGGUGAGUAACACGUGGAUAACCUACCUAUAAGACUGGGAUAACUUCGGGAAACCGGAGCUAAUACCGGAUAAGAUUUUGAACCGCAUGGUUCAAUAGUGAAAGACGGCCUUGCUGUCACUUAUAGAUGGAUCCGCGCCGUAUUAGCUAGUUGGUAAGGUAACGGCUUACCAAGGCAACGAUACGUAGCCGACCUGAGAGGGUGAUCGGCCACACUGGAACUGAGACACGGUCCAGACUCCUACGGGAGGCAGCAGUAGGGAAUCUUCCGCAAUGGGCGAAAGCCUGACGGAGCAACGCCGCGUGAGUGAUGAAGGUCUUCGGAUCGUAAAACUCUGUUAUCAGGGAAGAACAAACGUGUAAGUAACUGUGCACGUCUUGACGGUACCUGAUCAGAAAGCCACGGCUAACUACGUGCCAGCAGCCGCGGUAAUACGUAGGUGGCAAGCGUUAUCCGGAAUUAUUGGGCGUAAAGCGCGCGUAGGCGGUUUUUUAAGUCUGAUGUGAAAGCCCACGGCUCAACCGUGGAGGGUCAUUGGAAACUGGAAAACUUGAGUGCAGAAGAGGAAAGUGGAAUUCCAUGUGUAGCGGUGAAAUGCGCAGAGAUAUGGAGGAACACCAGUGGCGAAGGCGACUUUCUGGUCUGUAACUGACGCUGAUGUGCGAAAGCGUGGGGAUCAAACAGGAUUAGAUACCCUGGUAGUCCACGCCGUAAACGAUGAGUGCUAAGUGUUAGGGGGUUUCCGCCCCUUAGUGCUGCAGCUAACGCAUUAAGCACUCCGCCUGGGGAGUACGACCGCAAGGUUGAAACUCAAAGGAAUUGACGGGGGACC
rnacentral:rRNA from 1 species